AUUUAUUUGUAUGGAUUUGGAAAGUCUGAGCAGUUGAGGUUCACAGAGAUACAGUUUACCUGGAGUAACAGGGAUGUUGGAAAUGGAAAUUAUUCCUUUAACAAUAGUCCAAAAGGGAGAGACACAGCACGGAACAGCCGCCACAGACAUAAAGCCUCUGAUAAGUCGUGUUUUUUGCCACUGAAGUCUGAGAGCUGUUUGUUACCUUGGCAUAGUAGUCUAAUACAGCCUUCAGGAACUUAAAAAAUAGGUAAAGACAACCUAGAAUCACGAGAAGAGGAAGAGUAAAGGAACUGAAGCUUUCCUUCCACUCUUAAGGUCAAUAUCUGGCUAGAUUUGGGGGAGAUACGGAGGUGACCAUUAAAUGGACACGUUUGAUUGAUGCUUUGAGGUUGGUCAAAUUUUUAUUUAUAACUGAAGUAACCAGAA
rnacentral:lncRNA from 13 species